UACGUAGGGUGCAAGCGUUGUCCGGAAUUAUUGGGCGUAAAGAGCUCGUAGGCGGUUUGUCGCGUCUGCUGUGAAAACCCGAGGCUCAACCUCGGGCCUGCAGUGGGUACGGGCAGACUAGGGUGCGGUAGGGGAGAUUGGAAUUCCUGGUGUAGCGGUGAAAUGCGCAGAUAUCAGGAGGAACACCUAUGGCGAAGGCAGCUCGCUGGGACGGUACUGACGCUGAGGCGCGAAAGCGUGGGGAGCAAACAGG
rnacentral:rRNA from 1 species